AGGCUGUUCUCGCACCAGGAAAAAGAAAAAGAGGGAAAAGAAAAAAAAGAGAUCUCCUGGGACAAGGACAUAAACGAAGUGGAAGAUCUUACUAAAUCCUUUGACCUGUCCCGCGGCAAUUAUCUGAUCAUUCCCAAGAACAAGGCUUCUGAGGAGGGCAAAUUCCUCCUCCGCAUCUUCACUGAGAAGAAACAUCAGUCCCGGAGACUGGAAACCAUGUGAAUCGACUGAGGUCCCUUAACGCAGGAGAAGUGGACGGAACGGCCUGCCUCCAUCUGAUUCCCGAGAAGGGAGCCAGACCUGUCUCCUGCCCUUCUAAGCCUGGCGUGGGUAGAAAUUUUCGCCUGAAUUAAGCUUCUUCUGCUCCGCAACCUGAACCCCUGAAUCCUGCAAUCAAGACAAAUCAGCCCCCCUCAUCAAAACAGCUAUCAGCUGUGAUGCUAUCAAGUAAUGCCUGUGAUUCAGUCAAUGCUUCGGCAUCUUCAUGAGUCUUCUUGUGACGGUCACUUUUUAGCCUUUCUGCUGUCACUCAGGGGUCCCCAACCUCUUUGAGCCUCCGAGCACCUUUCGAACUCUGGCACCGUGCGGUGAUCCGCAGGAGACAAAGCCAACCAUGGACUGGCAGGGAGCAAACUUGUCAGGAGGGCCUCCCGACAUCAAAAGAGGUUCUGUUUUCCGUCAUGGUAAUGGGGCUCACUGUACUUUUGGUUUCCCACUGUCUUUGCGCUUUGUAACGUGUAGUGAUUUAGAAUGCACCCAAGUGCCGCCUUAUCCUCACAUCUCGUCACGCGGCCUUGAGACCGGACAGCUCUUGCAUUCCUGUUCUGUAUUUCUGUGCUUCGACAUCUCUGGGGGGAGGGAUAUGCUCAUUGGUGGGCAUCAAAGGGUGCUUGGCAAAGACCGUUCUGAGAACUGG